GGCCACUGUGCCACCUGGAGGCCUUGGGCUUCAGUUUCCUCACUUACAAAAUCAGAGAGCCGGACCUAACAAGCUCUAAGGUCUCUUCCAGCUCCUUCGGUGACACCGCCAAGCCCCAAGCCCUCCAGCCCUGGUCCCUGCCACACCUCUACAAGCUCUCUCCGGUUCCUUACAGCACCUGCGGCUGGGAAGAACACAGCAGCCAGGGCUUGGGAGCUCCAAGGCCUCAUUUUGCAGCUGAGGAAGUUCUGAUUUCCUCCUGAAAGCUAUGCUUACAGAAGACCUCUUCCUACAAGAAACUGAGCCUCCCAUUGCAGAAGACAUUCGACCCCUGGGACCUGAAGAAAUGCUGGCUCACGUCUAGGUAAAGCCAUGACAACCACCUGUUGGUGACAGCAAUGCCCAGAGCAGCCUGCUUCCCAGGAAUACCUCAGUUCUGUGCUUACUCUGUGUAUGGGACUGGGGUUGGGGGUGUCAUCCUGGAGCAGGCAGACCUCUGAGGGAGGAGAGCCUGACUUUCCUGGGCACCCACAAUUUGCUGGCAUCUGGUUGAGCUGGUUCUAGUGUCAGUAUUUGGGUCCUUCUGUCCUCGGUGUUUUUGGUGGGUCCUACUUUGUCUGCUUCCCUAAGCGGCCAGCUCGGUGUCAAAAGAGGAUGAUCAGGCACACCACCACUGGUGUGUGCCCAUGAAUGUACGCUCCAACAUUUACCAGCUGGGCAAGUCACUUAACCUUCGUAAGCUUCAGUGACAGGGUAAUAAUUAUUUACCUGAUAGGAUUAUUAUGAGAAAAGUCCUUUGUAGACCUCAAAACAAUAUGGAAAUGGGAGUUAUUAAUAUUAUCAUUAUCUAUCAACCUGAUUUGUGGCCUUCAUCCGUGCAGUCCUUCCACCUUUGAAUAUUCUGUGUUUCCAGCAUUAGCUUCCACACUGGAGUCCCAUCCCCUCAACUAUGCAACUCUUGUAGGCCAGUGAGAAGAGAGCUGGACUUAUAUUCCAGAGCUAGGUUCCAGACCCAGCCCCAUAAACUGGAUGUGUGGUCUUGAGUAUAUAAUUUGACAUCUCUAGUCUUCAGUUUUCCUGUUUGUAAAACAAGGAUGAUAUCUGCCAUGCCACUUUUCGGGGCUGAGGUCACUACUGGCAGGUAGGUGGGGGCUCUGGAUAGAGUGUGGGACUGGGAAUCAGGAAGAUCUGAGUUCAAAGUCUGCCUCCAGCACUUACUAGCCGUGUGACCUUGGACUGGUCACUUAGCUGCUCUCUGCCUCA
rnacentral:lncRNA from 1 species